UCCGUAGGCGGACUAAUAAGUCAGGGGUGAAAUCCCACAGCUCAACUGUGGAACUGCCUUUGCUACUGUUAGUCUUGAGUUAUAUGGAAGUAGAUAGAAUGUGUAGUGUAGCGGUGAAAUGCUUAGAGAUUACACAGAAUACCGAUUGCGAAGGCAGUCUACUACGUAUAUACUGACGCUAAUGGACGAAAGCGUGGGGAGCGAACAGGAUUAGAUACCCUGGUAGUCC
rnacentral:rRNA from 1 species